rnacentral:rRNA from 1 species
GACGAACGCUGGCGGCGUGCUUAACACAUGCAAGUCGUACGGUAAGGCCCUUUCGGGGGUACACGAGUGGCGAACGGGUGCGUAACACGUGAGUAACCUGCCCACAACUUUGGGAUAACGCUAGGAAACUGGUGCUAAUACUGGAUAUGUGCUCCUGCUGCAUGGGGGGGGUUGGAAAGCUCCGGCGGUUGUGGAUGGACUCGCGGCCUAUCAGCUUGUUGGUGGGGUAGUGGCCUACCAAGGCGGCGACGGGUAGCCGGCCUGAGAGGGUGACCGGCCACAUUGGGACUGAGAUACGGCCCAGACUCCUACGGGAGGCAGCAGUGGGGAAUAUUGCACAAUGGGCGCAAGCCUGAUGCAGCAACGCCGCGUGCGGGAUGACGGCCUUCGGGUUGUAAACCGCUUUCAGCAGGGACGAAGCUUUUUGUGACGGUACCUGCAGAAGAAGCACCGGCUAACUACGUG